CAGCAGCCGCGGGAACACGUAGGGUGCGGGCGUUAAUCGGAAUUACUGGGCGUAAAGCGUGCGCAGGCGGUUGUGUAAGACAGGUGUGAAAUCCCCGGGCUUAACCUGGGAACUGCGCUUGUGACUGCACAGCUAGAGUAUGGCAGAGGGGGGUGGAAUUCCACGUGUAGCAGUGAAAUGCGUAGAGAUGUGGAGGAACACCGAUGGCGAAGGCAGCCCCCUGGGCCAAUACUGACGCUCAUGCACGAAAGCGUGGGGAGCAAACAGGAUUAGAUACCCCGGUAGUCCCUGUCUCUUAUAC
rnacentral:rRNA from 1 species